rnacentral:rRNA from 1 species
UACGAAGGGGGCUAGCGUUGCUCGGAAUUACUGGGCGUAAAGGGCGCGUAGGCGGCCAAUCAAGUCAGAUGUGAAAGUCCUGGGCUUAACCUGGGGACUGCAUUUGAUACUGAUUGGCUUGAAUGCAGGAGAGGAUAGCAGAAUUCCCAGUGUAGAGGUGAAAUUCGUAGAUAUUGGGAAGAACACCGGUGGCGAAGGCGGCUAUCUGGACUGUGAUUGACGCUGGAGGCGCGAAAGCCGUGGGGAGCGAACAGG